rnacentral:rRNA from 1 species
UACGUAGGGUGCAAGCGUUGUCCGGAAUUAUUGGGCGUAAAGAGCUCGUAGGCGGUUUGUCGCGUCUGCUGUGAAAACUCGGGGCUUAACUCCGGGCCUGCAGUGGGUACGGGCAGACUAGAGUGCGGUAGGGGGAGACUGGAAUUCCUGGUGUAGCGGUGAAAUGCGCAGAUAUCAGGAGGAACACCGGUGGCGAAGGCGGGUCUCUGGGCCGUAACUGACGCUGAGGAGCGAAAGCAUGGGGAGCGAACAGG